CCGAACAUUUACAGGUAAAUUGUUUAUAGCAGAAGAUACGCUUGGAUUUUAAAAGAACCUUGACAUCAAAAUGGAAAAAGAUAAGAAAAUUAUAAAAGAAAAAAGAGCUUGGGUUAACAAACAGAUUGGAGCUGCUGUGGUACUCACAACAGUAGUUUUUAUAACUAUAUUUUAUUACAGUCCAUUCUCCGUUAAAGGUGUGAACACCACCGCUGAUCGUUUGGUAUUCACUUUCCGUUGUCUCUUCGUGUCAUCUUUUCCCAUUAUAUUCGGAAUUCAUACUGUAGGAUCAGUCCGAGGAAGUACAAAAGCAAUAGAUCCUGUGAAUGGAGGAGGAGAAUCUUUGGUUGAAGUGCCAAACCGGAUAUUACGAAAUACAGUGGAACAGUUCUUUCUUCAUAUGAUCGGACUUUUGACUCUAUCCACUUUUCUCGACGAGGGAUCAAUGAAAGUUAUUCCAAUACUGACAUUUAUUUUUAUUCUUGGAAGGAUUUUAUUUUAUUUUGGGUAUACUUAUGAUCCAAUAUAUAGAGGGCUAGGAUUCGCCAGUACGUUUCUUCCAACAAUGGCUACUUAUGCAUACUGUUCUUUCUGUAUAUUGCAGACACUCCUGAUGUAAUCGUUUCAUGUGCAUGCGUAACGUAACGAGAACGGAACGUUGAGAUAUCAAAACGAACACUACCGAAUUUUCUAAAACCUUGAAUAUUUUUUCUUUGUGUGACAAAUUAGUCCCAGUAAUAUCUAUUUUAUUUUCAACAAUUUGAUGAUAUAUACAGAAAAAAAUUCCUUGCACAUAAAUUUUGCCAAAAGAAUUACAUAAUCUUCUUUACUGCAUUUCCGGUUGACCAAUUUUACUUGAAUUUCAUAUUAUAAGUUUGCAAGAAAACGACCUGGCAGAUCUUUACUUGUAUUUCAUCAUGUUAAGUUUAUGGAUUCGUGUUUCUUCUUCAACACACCAAGGUCUUUUAUUGAACAUUUGAAGGUCCCCAAAUGUAUUAUCGGGCUACCUAAACUACACAAAAAAAGCCGUCACAUAUCGUUUCAUCUUGGCUUCUAUUAAGUGUUCUACAACUGAUUAAUCUUUCUGUCAAUUUAACUAGUUCCCCGACUUCAAAUUAAGAACCAGAUUUUUUUUUUAAAUCAAAUGGUAUUGAAAAAAUAUUACAAAUCUAAUUUCUACAACUCAUAUAAAGCUUUCUUCUGGAAUUCAAUAAGUGACACUCACUGGACUGUGAUGCAAGGUUGAAUCUUGGCAACCUCUUUGAAUGUAAAAUUAGGCCUUUGGUUUUCUCCAGGCUAUUGUUUCACAUAUUGUAUCAAGCCGAAGCCGUUUAUGGCUUAUUAAACAGUAUUUGGCUUAAUAUUAGAUGACUUAUUUUUGCUUACAUUAUUGACCUUUGAUCUCAUGUGGAAAGUUUAACUGUCGCUCACCACAUUUCUUUUAUAAUUACUGCUAGGUUAUUCCAAACUUUCUCAAUAUUAAUUGGAAUGCGUUUUUUCGCACUUCUUUGAUUAUUCAAUUUCUUCUGAUAGUUUGUCAGGUUGGUUCCAUGUUCUUGCUUUUAUAAUUUUAUUGACAAAUGUUCGAAUAUUUUGCUUAAGAGUAUCGUAACAAAAUGAACCAUUACCCCUUUCCCUCCUAAAACUCGAAUUCCUACCCUCCGUACCCAAUCCAACCACUACCCCUAAAUAAAAAAAAACUAACUAACUACAAAACAUGGAAUACGAACCAAACGCACAAAAAAAUAAUAAUAAAAAAAAAGAACAAAUGAAUUAAGGCAAGUGGCUAAAAACAGAUUCAGGGAAGUGGCCUUAAGUAAGUAAACAGGUUUAACAGUUACUUUUCUACAAUAUUUGGUAAAACAGAUUUUCAUUUCAAGUACACUCGAGAUUAUUGCUGAGUUGUAUUUGAAGGCAAAUGAUUCAUUUUCUGCUUUCAACAUUUUAUAGUUGUAAUGAUGAAUUUCAUCAUUUUCUUUGUGAACAAUUUAUUUUUUACUGUUACUCCAAAUCAUGCUUAAUAAAUGCUUACAUCAUGAUUUUGCUGCAUGAGAUUGAUAGUGCAAUUGAUUAUUGCUUUUAAAUGGGUUUUCUGAUCCUACAUUGUAAUUCCAAUAACAUUGUUUUCACACUGUAACUGUAGAAUUGUAAAUAAAUACACAAAUUAAAACUCAUAA